rnacentral:rRNA from 1 species
ACGGAGGGGGCUAGCGUUGUUCGGAAUUACUGGGCGUAAAGCGCGCGUAGGCGGGUUGGUUAGUCAGGGGUGAAAUCCCGGAGCUCAACUCCGGAACUGCCCUUGAUACUGCCAGCCUUGAGUUCUGGAGAGGUGAGUGGAAUUCCGAGUGUAGAGGUGAAAUUCGUAGAUAUUCGGAGGAACACCAGUGGCGAAGGCGGCUCACUGGCCAGAUACUGACGCUGAGGUGCGAAAGCGUGGGGAGCAAACAGG